CACGGCUAUAAAUAGCUUUCUAAAUGAACUGGUUUUGGUCAAUAAGGCGAAGAAUAUAGUGCAAAUCAAAUUGGUAUAGGAAGAUGUGGUAUGAGUGGCAAUGAGACAACUCUCCAUCCAAAUAACAAUUUAUAAAAGUAAAUCAUUAUAGGUCAAUGUACGACCUUCAACACGGAGCCUUGGCUCACACCGAACAACAAGCUAUAAAGGGCCUCAAAAUUACAAGUGAAAAACCAUUCAAAUGGGAAAACCAACGAUCUAAUGUACAUAUUUACAAUUAAACUUGCAGGCCUCUUUCAUGACCCACAAAUUAAAAUAUAUGAAAACAUCAAAAUAAAAAGGAAUGAGUGUGUAAAGGUUAUUCUGAAUCAUAUAUUUUGAAACAUUCAGAAAAAAAUCAGCAAUAUCCUCACAGUGAGUAAAAGGUUUUAAAAAGAAUUUGUUUUUAACAAAGAGGUUUAAAUUGCCAUCUAAAACUUUUAAGAGCACAAAGCACACACCUUAAAACUAUCAAUGCUUACUACCCUAAGCAUCACAAAAACCUUGCAGAACAGGUGUAAGGAUCUUAAUAAUGAUCAAUAUCUAGGCUUUGUUUAAAUAACCAUGAAAAUAUUUCAAAUUCAAAUAAAACAGCGAUUACGGUUUUUUAUAUCGACUCGUCAAAGUAACAAAUAAUACGUGUUGGCUUUUGUUAUGCACUUUAACUGUGCAGUCAUUUCACGUGAAAUUAAUAACUAAGCGUCCAUUUAACGGCAAAUUAAUGCUGGUGGAGAUUUAUUUCCCCGAGGGUAUCACCAGUCCAGUAGUCAGCACUUCUGUGUUCAUUUGAGUUAUCAUUGGUAUGUUCAUAAUUACAAAUAAACUGUAACAAAACUUUGAAUUUUUGAAAUACUAAUUCUUUUCUUCCCAAGG
rnacentral:lncRNA from 1 species